rnacentral:rRNA from 1 species
GACGAACCGUGCUAACGUUGCUCGGAAUCACUGGGCUUAAAGGGCGCGUAGGCGGGCCGGCAAGUCAGGGGUGAAAGCCCGCGGCUCAACCGCGGAAGCGCCUUUGAUACUGCCGGCCUCGAGGGGGGUAGGGGCGUGCGGAACUUCCGGUGGAGCGGUGAAAUGCGUAGAUAUCGGAAGGAACACCGGUGGCGAAAGCGGCGCGCUGGACCCCUUCUGACGCUGAGGCGCGAAAGCCAGGGGAGCAAACGGG